rnacentral:tRNA from 1 species
GGGCUGUAGCUCAGUAGCAAAGCAUCUGCCUUGCAUGCAGAAGGUCCUAGGUUUAAUCCCCAGUGGCAUCU